rnacentral:rRNA from 1 species
UACCGAGGAGAGCCACUGCGACAAUGGGGGCGCCGCCGGCGGCGGCGGGGACCGGAGCAGCAGAGAAAGCCGCUCUACGACUAGCUGAAGCACGGACUGCAACGGCCGCAAAGGGAGCGGCUCAGGCCGCCAAAGCAGUUCCGGGGGCCGCCGCGGGGGCGGUUGCAGCGGACGCGGUAGAGGUUCGAGCCGCCGAGGAGGCGGAAGUAGCCUUUCAAACCGCUGCUGCUCAAGCCGGUGUACGACCACCUCUAGGACUUCGUCUUGCCGCACUUGCGGCUCCCGACGGACAAGCUGGUCGUGCGCGCGUGGCGCGACCGGAAGCAGUGCGAGUUCAGAUUGCCGCUCGCGCUCAAGUACAAGAUGGCGUUGGGCAGCCGGCUGUACGACGAGUGGCUCCGACUCGAGUUGAACCUGGACUAGGCGGCGCGGGCGUAGAAAGUGAUGCCGAGGUAGAGCGAGUAGUGGCUCGGGACGGCGAGCCGGGUGCAGCGGCGGUACGCACGGCGGUUCAGCCGGCCGUAGGAAACGAGCAUGCUGGGGUUGCACGCGGACGGCGAGACCGGGAGACGCGUCCGGCGGGCACUGCCGUAGUACUCGUAGACCUUUCUCCGACUGAAGUAGUUCCACUCGCUGCUCCUCCACCGGAAGGAGUGGGUCCCGCUGCGGUGACUGCUCUUCUUGCACGAGAGGGAGACCAAGCUCCCGGAGUUCGACGAGUAGCAGUGGCUACCACUCUUCCCCACGUCCAUGAAGUGGUUCCUGAAGUUCCCGAGCCACGGGCCGAUGAGACAGUUGUGGCACCUGUGGUGGCCGCGGCCGCUGCGGAAGCAGCCGAGGGAGGAGCAGUCGCAGAGGUUCCUGCUGAGGUAGAAGACGUUACUCCGGUUCGACUCCCUCCACGACGUCAAGAGCUUGCGAACGCCGCGGUAGACGUGGUGGUUCUUCCCUCGGUAGGGCCGCGACGGGUGGUGGCGGUGGCGGGACCUCGAGUAGUCGUUCCCGUCGUUGAUC